AUUACGGUAAUGCAGCAUUAUGGGAUUGGUGAGAGCUACAUGUGUGAUUCUUUUCAGAAGUAUUACUCUUACAGCAAUGGCUCAGCACAAAUUCAUCGAUAUCGGUGUGAACCUGACAGAUCCCAUGUUUAGAGGACUUUACAGAGGGAAGCAGAAACAUGAAGAUGACUUCAGUCAGAUCAUCGACAGAGCUCUUAAAAUCGGAGUUGAAAAGACGUGU